GACGAACGCUGGCGGCGUGCUUAACACAUGCAAGUCGAACGGAAAGGCCCUGCUUUUGUGGGUUGCUCGAGUGGCGAACGGGCGAGUAACACGUGAGUAACCUGCCUUUGACUUUGGGAUAACUUCAGGUAACUGGGGAUAAUACCGGAUAGGAGCUCCUGUUGCAUGGUGGGGGUUGGAAAGUUUCGGCUGUUGGGGAUGGACUCGCGGCUUAUCAGCUUGUUGGUGGGGUAGUGGCUUACCAAGGCUUCGACGGGUAGACGGCCUGAGAGGGUGACCGGCCACCUUGGUCCUGCGAUACGGCGCAGACGGCAAAGUGAGGCAGUAGUGGAGAAUAUUGCGCAGUGGGCGCAAGUCAGUGGCAGCGACUCCGCGUGCGUGAAGACGGCUUUCGAGUGAUAACCCGCUUUCGCCUAUGUCGAAGCGUGAGUGACGGUAAUGAGUAAAGAAGCACCGGCUAACUACGUG
rnacentral:rRNA from 1 species